rnacentral:rRNA from 1 species
CGAACGGGUGAGUAAUAUAUCGGAACGUGCCCAGUAGUGGGGGAUAGCCCGGCGAAAGCCGGAUUAAUACCGCAUACGACCUACGGGUGAAAGCGGGGGAUCGCAAGACCUCGCGCUAUUGGAGCGGCCGAUAUCAGAUUAGGUAGUUGGUGGGGUAAAAGCCCACCAAGCCGACGAUCUGUAGCUGGUCUGAGAGGACGACCAGCCACACUGGGACUGAGACACGGCCCAG